GACGCUGAUGCGUUGUUGGGUAGGGGAGCGUUCUGUAAGCCUGUGAAGGUGUGCUGUGAGGCAUGCUGGAGGUAUCAGAAGUGCGAAUGCUGACAUAAGUAACGAUAAAGCGGGUGAAAAGCCCGCUCGCCGGAAGACCAAGGGUUCCUGUCCAACGUUAAUCGGGGCAGGGUGAGUCGACCCCUAAGGCGAGGCCGAAAGGCGUAGUCGAUGGGAAACAGGUUAAUAUUCCUGUACUUGGUGUUACUGCGAAGGGGGGACGGAGAAGGCUAUGUUGGCCGGGCGACGGUUGUCCCGGUUUAAGCGUGUAGGCUGGUUUUCCAGGCAAAUCCGGAAAACUAAGGCUGAGGCGUGAUGACGAGGCACUACGGUGCUGAAGCAACAAAUGCCCUGCUUCCAGGAAAAGCCUCUAAGCAUCAGGUAACAUCAAAUCGUACCCCAAACCGACACAGGUGGUCAGGUAGAGAAUACCAAGGCGCUUGAGAGAACUCGGGUGAAGGAACUAGGCAAAAUGGUGCCGUAACUUCGGGAGAAGGCACGCUGAUAUGUAGGUGAAGUCCCUCGCGGAUGGAGCUGAAAUCAGUCGAAGAUACCAGCUGGCUGCAACUGUUUAUUAAAAACACAGCACUGUGCAAACACGAAAGUGGACGUAUACGGUGUGACGCCUGCCCGGUGCCGGAAGGUUAAUUGAUGGGGUCAGCGCAAGCGAAGCUCUUGAUCGAAGCCCCGGUAAACGGCGGCCGUAACUAUAACGGUCCUAAGGUAGCGAAAUUCCUUGUCGGGUAAGUUCCGACCUGCACGAAUGGCGUAAUGAUGGCCAGGCUGUCUCCACCCGAGACUCAGUGAAAUUGAACUCGCUGUGAAGAUGCAGUGUACCCGCGGCAAGACGGAAAGACCCCGUGAACCUUUACUAUAGCUUGACACUGAACAUUGAGCCUUGAUGUGUAGGAUAGGUGGGAGGCUUUGAAGUGUGGACGCCAGUCUGCAUGGAGCCGACCUUGAAAUACCACCCUUUAAUGUUUGAUGUUCUAACGUUGACCCGUAAUCCGGGUUGCGGACAGUGUCUGGUGGGUAGUUUGACUGGGGCGGUCUCCUCCUAAAGAGUAACGGAGGAGCACGAAGGUUGGCUAAUCCUGGUCGGACAUCAGGAGGUUAGUGCAAUGGCAUAAGCCAGCUUGACUGCGAGCGUGACGGCGCGAGCAGGUGCGAAAGCAGGUCAUAGUGAUCCGGUGGUUCUGAAUGGAAGGGCCAUCGCUCAACGGAUAAAAGGUACUCCGGGGAUAACAGGCUGAUACCGCCCAAGAGUUCAUAUCGACGGCGGUGUUUGGCACCUCGAUGUCGGCUCAUCACAUCCUGGGGCUGAAGUAGGUCCCAAGGGUAUGGCUGUUCGCCAUUUAAAGUGGUACGCGAGCUGGGUUUAGAACGUCGUGAGACAGUUCGGUCCCUAUCUGCCGUGGGCGCUGGAGAACUGAGGGGGGCUGCUCCUAGUACGAGAGGACCGGAGUGGACGCAUCACUGGUGUUCGGGUUGUCAUGCCAAUGGCACUGCCCGGUAGCUAAAUGCGGAAGAGAUAAGUGCUGAAAGCAUCUAAGCACGAAACUUGCCCCGAGAUGAGUUCUCCCUGACUCCUUGAGAGUCCUGAAGGAACGUUGAAG
rnacentral:rRNA from 1 species